UACGUAGGGGGCAAGCGUUGUCCGGAAUCAUUGGGCGUAAAGAGCGUGUAGGCGGCCAGAAAAGUCCGCUGUGAAAACUCGAGGCUCAACUUCGAGCUGUCGGUGGAAACUUUCUGGCUAGAGUCCGGAAGAGGAGAAUGGAAGUUCCUGGUGUAGCGGUGAAAUGACGCAGAUAUCAGGAAGAACACCCGUGGCGAAGGCGGUUCUCUGGGACGGUACUGACGCUGAGACGCGAAAGCGUGGGGAGCGAACAGG
rnacentral:rRNA from 1 species